rnacentral:lncRNA from 1 species
AAUGUUCCCAGUGCAAACCCUUCUUCGAGAGCAAGACUGAAGCAUAAACGUGUCUUGUUUUCUCCUAGAUGUUGUAUACUUCUUCAGAACAAACAGUUUCCAAAUGCAGAGUUCUGUGAAAGGUUUAUCAUAGGGAGAUGGGGAAAUGGCACAUCUUCCUCUUACAAAGCAUGGGACAGCUGGAAACAAAAGUAUGUGUCACAGGAUAUUAGUGAUGGAAAAAAAAAAAGUAUUCAGGGCUGGUUGACUUUGUAUAUCCAAAGCCUCUUUUUUGGAGGACAGGAAUGUGAAAUACUGGAGCGUCCUGCAGAAAGGAGGCUUCCACAAAAAGACAAGGCUGAGGAUGCUAUUACAGCCUGGGACCAUGCCCAAAGCCAGGCACUUGCUGUUUGUCAGAAGGCUGCUGCUCCUCUUGUGUCUUUGGAGGAACUGCCUGAGGGAGCAGCCACCUACCUGAACCUUUGCUCCUGCCUUUCUUGACUUGUACAGAAGGAGGAGGAGCAGAGCACCUAGACGUGGCAUGGGACCUGCUCAGUCUGAUUUGCAGCUUAGAAAAGGCACUACUUUGAGAGCAUAACCCAGGCGAAGAAAACGCAUGAACAUGUCCACUCAUCAGCUGUUGAUGCUCCCUUCCUAAUGAGUGGUAAGAAACAGCCCAUGAUUCAUCUCAACCUUAAGGUAAGGGUAGGAUUUGGGUCCAGGAUUU